UCAGGCCUAACACAUGCAAGUCGAACGGAUCACUUCGGUGGUUAGUGGCGAACGGGUGAGUAAUGCCUAGGAAUCUGCCUAUUAGCGGGGGAUAACGUUCCGAAAGGAACGCUAAUACCGCAUACGCCCUACGGGGGAAAGCAGGGGAUCUUCGGACCUUGCACUAAUAGAUGAGCCUAGGUCAGAUUAGCUAGUUGGUGGGGUAAAGGCUCACCAAGGCGACGAUCUGUAGCGGGUCUGAGAGGAUGAUCCGCCACACUGGAACUGAGACACGGUCCAGACUUCUACGGGAGGCAGCAGUGGGGAAUAUUGGACAAUGGGCGCAAGCCUGAUCCAACACAUGCCGCGUGUGUGAAGAAGGCCUUUUGGUGUAAAUCAAAAGAGCGAGGAGGAGGGCACUUAGGUUAUACCCUGAUGUGUGGAC
rnacentral:rRNA from 1 species